rnacentral:tRNA from 1 species
GGCAAGAUGGCCGAGCGGUCUAAGGCGCUGUGUUCAGGUUCUUCCAUCCAGUUGAAAAACCUUCGCAGUGGAGCAAUCCGCGCGAGUUCGAAUCUCGUUCUUGUCA